GAUGAACGCUGGCGGCGUGCCUAAUACAUGCAAGUCGAGCGAACAGAUGAGGAGCUUGCUCCUCUGACGUUAGCGGCGGACGGGUGAGUAACACGUGGAUAACCUACCUAUAAGACUGGGAUAACUUCGGGAAACCGGAGCUAAUACCGGAUAAUAUAUUGAACCGCAUGGUUCAAUAGUGAAAGACGGUUUUGCUGUCACUUAUAGAUGGAUCCGCGCCGCAUUAGCUAGUUGGUAAGGUAACGGCUUACCAAGGCAACGAUGCGUAGCCGACCUGAGAGGGUGAUCGGCCACGCUGGAACUGAGACACGGUCCAGACUCCUACGGGAGGCAGCAGUAGGGAAUCUUCCGCAAUGGGCGAAAGCCUGACGGAGCAACGCCGCGUGAGUGAUGAAGGUCUUCGGAUCGUAAAACUCUGUUAUUAGGGAAGAACAAAUGUGUAAGUAACUAUGCACGUCUUGACGGUACCUAAUCGGAAAGCCACGGCUAACUACGUG
rnacentral:rRNA from 1 species